rnacentral:tRNA from 1 species
UGCAUCGGCCGGGAAUCGAACCCGGGCCGCCCGCGUGCUAGGCGAGCAUUCUACCACUGAACCACCGAUGG